CCAGCUCCAAUAGCGUAUACUAAAGUUGUUGCAGUUAAAAAGCUCGUAGUUGGAUUUCUGGUAGCAACAGGCGGUCCGCCCCUCACGGGGUGUGUACUUGUCUGCUGCAUCCAUCCUCGGGGAGAACGUAUCUGGCAUUCAGUUGUCGGGUAUGGUAUCCUCGUCAUUUACUGUGAGCAAAAUAGAGUGUUCAAAGCAGGCUUAGGCCGUUGAAUACAUUAGCAUGGAAUAAUAAGAUAGGACCUUGGUCUAUUUUGUUGGUUGUAUUCCAAGGUAAUGAUUAAUAGGGAUAGUUGGGGGUAUUCGUAUUCAAUUGUCAGAGGUGAAAUUCUUGGAUUUAUGGAAGACGAACUACUGCGAAAGCAUUUACCAAAUAUGUUUUCA
rnacentral:rRNA from 1 species